rnacentral:rRNA from 1 species
UACGUAGGGUGCAAGCGUUGUCCGGAAUUAUUGGGCGUAAAGAGCUCGUAGGCGGUUUGUCGCGUCUGCUGUGAAAACCCGAGGCUCAACCUCGGGCCUGCAGUGGGUACGGGCAGACUAGAGUGCGGUAGGGGUGACUGGAAUUCCUGGUGUAGCGGUGGAAUGCGCAGAUAUCAGGAGGAACACCGGUGGCGAAGGCGGAUCUCUGGGCCAUUACUGACGCUGAGGAGCGAAAGCGUGGGGAGCAAACAGG